ACGCCGUGACUGCGCCAUAUUGCAGGUUUGAGGUUAAUCUUCAACACGGCGU
rnacentral:ncRNA from 2 species